AGGGUUUGACAUGCCUAGGAUCCUCCAGAAAUGGAGGAGUGCCUUUUUAGGAACUAGGUCAC
rnacentral:rRNA from 1 species